ACUCUUCCUCAUCCCAAAUCAAAAAUAGCACGCACACAGCCAAAGACCCUGCAUCUCGCACCCCCACCCCACACCAGAGUCUUCUCAAAAUUGAAAUUCUCCUCUAAAUCAUAUUUGGAACGCGAAGGGAAUCACCGUUUAGCAUCCCAAACACGUAUACAAUUAAUUCACACCAUUAGGAGUUAUUCGCAGCGCGAUUAGAAUUGGCAGCAGUGGUUGGGUCAACAAAGCAACGAGGUUUACGUUUUGAUUAGCACACUACUUCGGGCGUACUUGUGCGGAUAAUAUUACUCUGAACAGUUGAAGGUCUUCAUAUGUUGGGUGAUAGAUUAUUUCAAAAAUAAUAUUUGUUGAAGCAAAAAGUGAAGUUCACAUACUGAGUGAAUUGAAAUCACAUAUAUUGUGUAUUUUCAUUUGUCUUUGACCUCUUUCAAGAAUUGUGAUUCUUCGAACUCAUAAGCUUCUAGUGCUUUCAACACUUUGGUGUGUCUUUUCUUCUUUGUUGAAAAUUCACAUAAUUUUUGUGGUUUAUUUUGCUUUAGUGAUGAGGGCUUUCUACAAUCAGUCAAGGAAAUCAGAGAAGUAAUCAAAGAAUAGGAAGGGGUCAAAGAGGAUCUAAAUCAGGUAGUGUUACUAGAAAAAUGUUGGGCUUCUAUCAAGUAUAUAAAGGUUGAACGAUAUUGUUGUAUGUCAAGCUUGUCAUAAACUUCCAUUGGGGGCUCUAAGGAGUUGAAAUGACGAAAUGUUGCACCAAGCAGACUACCGAGCAACUGUAGAAUCAUGCAUAUGGUGUGUGGAUGGAGACAGCAAAAGCAAAAUAGGGAUUUCUAUGAUCCACCGUUACCGCUGUUUUUGUGACUCCCUGUUCUUAUCCUUGCUCCUUAUCAGCACAAGACUUCCCGUUGAUAUGAAGGGAAAUAUUUCAAAUAUCCUGCAAAUAGUAGUCACUCUAUUGCAACUGGAUUAUUUUUAAACAGGUAAUUUUGUAUUUAACUUAUAUGUAUAUUAAUCACUUAUAGAAAAUAGUGUUUCUACCAUUAUUUGACUUGCAGAACUACAGGAUUUUUCCAAAAUCUUUUAAUACAAUCCGGCAACUUCAUCCACUUUUGGUUUUUGUGGCUGCUCUUUGAGUUGGAGCUCCACUUGCUAUCAACGUGAAGUCAUUGAUCCUGAUGUUCCUAUCCGGAAUUGAAGUGUUGUGAUUUAGUUUUACUAGUUUUGGACGAUGGUUAUGAAAUGUAUAAAUGAACAAAUAUUUUAAUCUUUUUACAACUAGUGUUCGUUGUUUCUUGUAUAAGUAUUAACAACUAGUUCGAAUUGUUUUUGCAACUAUAUUUUGGUUUU